AUGUCACUUUGUUAAUGGUCACAUCUCAAGAGAGGGAACUAGUAAAGGAGCAUUUUUCUGAGAAUAUCACAUCAGGCCUCAAUUGUACAGGAAAAGUCACAAGGGGCCCCCAAAGAGUUCCAGUAAUAUCACUAAGAUCAGAUGCCUUAGGAUGUUUAGGGCAGAUGAGCUCUCCCAUUUCUGUAUCUUAGAAUGCUGAACUGUACAGGAAAAUAAGUUUUUUCAGCCUUUAGAGUUCAAAGAAGCUUGGCUGAGGGGACCCCUACCCAUCUCAAUCUUCUGAAAAAUGAAGGCAAUGGAACAAAUCAUGAGUUAAACUUAUACCUGCAACUGUAGUAGUUUUAGUCUAGGCCUUCCUUGGCAACCAGUUUGUAACCAAGGAAGUAGCUAUAUGCUCAGUAUUCCCUACGAUUUUUACGUAAGCCAGCAUAUAAAGAAGAAGGGAGGGGAGGCCUUCACUCUCUUCCCUUCCAGUGGUUCUGAAGGUGCAGGUUCCCCGCCGUUGGUUCUGCUGUGUGAGGGAGUGAGGCCGAGUGAGGCCUUGUAGGCCUUGGGAGGCAGAGGGUGCCGGCGGUCGUUCGGCGCGACUUCUGCUGUCCCGAGGAGAGUAACUGAAACGCUGUGGCUUACCAGGAGACACCAGGUGUGAUGGUCCCUAUGCAAAUAUGCACAGACAUUCAGUAUGCAGGUAAAAUCAUCAUCUUCAAGGAAAAUUCAGGUGGAAGCACGUUACCACCCAACAGGCUUUUAAGCACAGAAGCAGAAUCCUACUGGAGAAGUUUGCACUAUGAAAACAGUUACAAUAUUAAAUUGCUCACAGGCAGGUAAAAGCCAUCACAUCUACAGAUGUGGACAAAGGGUUUCCCGUGAAAUUCUGCCUUCUUACACAGAUCACGAAAUGAGGACCUCGUAAAUCAAAAUAAUACCAUGAAGAGCAGUAUUUCUUAAUGAACAACAAUUACGUGAUAGGAAGAAUGGCCAACUUUUUGGAAAACUUUAUUAUUAAAAAGCCUGAAACCUUCUUCAAAAGAACAAUUUUCCUCUGUUUGUAUUGGCCUGCUGAUACAACAUCCCAUGAAGUUCAUGAAGCUCACUGCUAGACAAGAACAGUACUUUCUCUUACCCAUCCUGAACUGCUCUGAUAGUCACUCUGCUUUUUCACGCGGCCCUUGGCUGUACCGCUGUGGGAUUUGAUCACCAGCAGUUCAGCAUUCAUCACUGCCCUUGUGGUUUUUGAGACUCAGCCACAUGGCUUCUUCUAAGGACUCUCCCCUCUAAAAUGAGCACUCUAUUCCUUUCCUCAAAACAUAGCUCUCCCAAGCUUUUAACCAAUUUAGCUGCCCUUCUCUACCUGCUUUACCUCUGCCACAUGUUUCUUUCAGUCACAGGCAACACAAAGUCAUGCUAGCAGACCCAGGACCUGGGUGAGGGUCAGCAGACAGGCAGUAUGUUUGCAGAAUAGCAGCAAGCUGGGAGGAAGUAACAUGGGGUCACUUGAAACAUACUGCAUUACAUCCCUUCCAAACACCAGACUGCCAAGACCAAAGGAAGGGGAACUUCCACUUAAAGAAAUAUGCAUAUUUGCCUAUUUUAUUAUAUAAAAUAAACAUAUGGAUGGGCUAUA